GCCUGUCUUAGCUCAUCUGGGAGAGCGUAAGACUGAAGUAGCCACAUGGUCAGUCUGUGCAGGGGCUCUCUGGCAAUCUUAAGGCACCCGGUUCAAUCCCGGGAGACGGCA